rfam:Streptomyces sp. PVA 94-07 chromosome, whole genome shotgun sequence.
GAUAGGUCGCUGCCGCCACAGUGAUUGGACACUGACGCUCAGUCAACUAGCCUGGACAGGACGGCUCUUCAGUACCGGAGCCGGGACGGCCCGAGCCACGAGGGGGGAGGCUCGGGCCGUCCGUA